AGUGAACGCUGGCGGUAGGCCUAACACAUGCAAGUCGAACGGCAGCACAGUAAGAGCUUGCUCUUACGGGUGGCGAGUGGCGGACGGGUGAGGAAUACAUCGGAAUCUACUUUUUCGUGGGGGAUAACGUAGGGAAACUUACGCUAAUACCGCAUACGACCUACGGGUGAAAGCAGGGGAUCUUCGGACCUUGCGCGAUUGAAUGAGCCGAUGUCGGAUUAGCUAGUUGGCGGGGUAAAGGCCCACCAAGGCGACGAUCCGUAGCUGGUCUGAGAGGAUGAUCAGCCACACUGGAACUGAGACACGGUCCAGACUCCUACGGGAGGCAGCAGUGGGGAAUAUUGGACAAUGGGCGCAAGCCUGAUCCAGCCAUACUGCGUGGGUGAAGAAGGCCUUCGGGUUGAAAAGCCCUUUUGUUGGGAAAGAAAAGCAGCAGGUUAAUACCCCGCUGUUCUGACGGUACCCAAAGAAUAAGCACCGGCUAACUUCGUG
rnacentral:rRNA from 1 species